rnacentral:rRNA from 1 species
UACGGGGGGGGCAAGCGUUGUUCGGAAUUACUGGGCGUAAAGGGCUCGUAGGCGGCCAACUAAGUCAGACGUGAAAUCCCUCGGCUUAACCGGGGAACUGCGUCUGAUACUGGAUGGCUUGAGUUUGGGAGAGGGAUGCGGAAUUCCAGGUGUAGCGGUGAAAUGCGUAGAUAUCUGGAGGAACACCGAUGGCGAAGGCAGGUCUCUGGGCCAUAACUGACGCUGAGAAGCGAAAGCAUGGGGAGCGAACAGG